rnacentral:rRNA from 1 species
AGGCGACGAUGCUUAGCUGGUCUGAGAGGAUGAUCAGCCACACUGGAACCGAGACACGGUCCAGACUCCUACGGGAGGCAGCAGUGGGGAAUAUUGCGCAAUGGGGGAAACCCUGACGCAGCAAUACCGCGUGAGUGAGGAAGGCCUUCGGGUUGUAAAGCUCUGUCAGAUGGGAAGAACGAUAUAGGGUCCAAUAGGCCUUAUAAGUGACGGUACCAUCAAAGGAAGCACCGGCUAACUUCGUGCCAGCAGCCGCGGUAAUACGAAGGGUGCAAGCGUUGUUCGGAUUUACUGGGCGUAAAGCGCGCGCAGGCGGAUUAAUAAGUCAGAUGUGA